rnacentral:rRNA from 1 species
AAAACAUCGCCUCCUGCGACGCAACCAAGUAUAGGAGGUCCAGCCUGCCCAGUGACUACAAGUUCAACGGCCGCGGUAUUCUAACCGUGCAAAGGUAGCGCAAUCACUUGUCUUUUAAAUAAAGACCUGUAUGAAUGGCUAAACGAGGGCUUAACUGUCUCCCCUUUCAAGUCAGUGAAAUUGAUCUACCCGUGCAGAAGCGGGUAUGAUAAUACAAGACGAGAAGACCCUUUGGAGCUUAAGGUACAAAACUCAACCACAUUAAGCAACUCAAUAAAAAGUAAAAACUUUGUGAACAUGAAAUUUUACCUUCGGUUGGGGCGACCACGGAGGAAAGAAAAGCCUCCAAAUGGACCGGGGAAACCCCCUAAAACCAAGAGAGACAUCUCUAAGCCACAGAACAUCUGACCAAGCAUGAUCCGGCUAGUAUAGACCGAUUAAUGAACCAAGUUACCCUAGGGAUAACAGCGCAAUCCUCUCCCAGAGUCCAUAUCGACGAGGGGGUUUACGACCUCGAUGUUGGAUCAGGACAUCCUAAUGGUGCAGCCGCUAUUAAGGGUUCGUUUGUUCAACGAUUAAAGUCCUACGUGA